CACGCACUCCCUGUCUUCUCUCCCUCUCGUACACUCUCUGUCUCUCUCCCUCAACCUCACACACACCCACACCCAAUGUGUACGGCACACACCCAAACCCUCCAAAAACUCGACGGAUCGAGGCAACCAAGGUAUGCAUCUUCAUCAUUUCGACGUUCUGAGUUCAUUGGUACUAGUUUUAGGAAGUGAAACCCUCGAAAUCACGGGAAACCCGAACCUCCAUUUUUGAGUUACUGUUCAUGCACACGUAAAAUGUCGUGUUUCAGGGAAUUCUAAGCUUGUAGUGAGCUUAGUGAAGUCCUAAGGAGGCUCGGAGUACUUCGUUUGAAGGAUUUGGACGUCAGGAUCACGUGGUUCCAUUUUGGCCGAAUUUCUUGGGAAUUUUCCGGUGAGAUUUAUUGAUUUUUAGAGCCUUAAACUAGUCUAUUGUGAUUCUACAUGUUUGGGGCUUCAAUUUGAUAUAAAAUACGAAGAAAAUGGGUGAAAAACGAAGGAGAACAAGAGGUUUUAAAAUUGGCCAGAAAACGGUCGCCGGAAAAACCAGUCCGGCGACCCAAGGAAGAAGAAGGGCGCGUGGGGGGCGCGUGGGCCCGUGACACGUGCGGCGCGUGGGGGCGCGUGGCACAUCAAAAAAAUAAUCUAAAAAUAUGUCGACGUUCGUGACGUCGAGUAGAUCACUGUGGUAUAUUCAUAUACCCAAAUUGAGCACCGUAUGAGAAAGUUAUUACGAUUAUUGGUUAGGUGCUUUAAAUAACGUUUUAUAGUUUUCGCAUUUAGGUGAAAAUGUGAAUUGACGAUCCGACCGUUGGAUCGUCAUCAAACUUUGAUACGUUGUAAUACGUAAUAUUUUAGGAUUAUUGGAACUUACGGAUUGGGAAUCUGAGUUACGGAUCUUCCAGAAUUGGAGUUGUAAGUUCAUAAAAUAAAAUGUUAACCGUCACUUAGUUUUGGAAAUUGACGGGGAUCCGACCGUUGGAUGGUAAUGAAAUUUCAGGAUGUUGUCCUAGAGAUAUAUUGUGGACCUCUGGAAGUUAUGGAUUUAAAAUCUGAGUUGCAGAUCUUUCGGAUCGAACUGCGUAGUGAUGUGUUUUAUAUAAGUUAUAUUCUAUCGAUAUGAUUUCUGAGGUUGGAUUUGAUUAUUGUUCUAGGCGGCGAUCGUCAUGACGCCUUGAUGUGUUGUGCUAGGGAGUUGUAGGGCGAACUCCAGGUGAGUGGGCAGUUUUGUUUUCGUAUUACCUAUAUACUAUUGAGUUUUCCCAGAAAUUGAAUUUAUAUGAAAAGUAUGAUUUAAAAUGCCAUGGAUAGAUUUAUAUGAAAAGUAUGAUUUGAAAUGCCAUGCAUAGAAGUAUAUGAAAAGCAUGAAUUGAUAUAUGAUGCAUAUAUAUAUGUGAAUUGGUGCUGUGGACGCACAUGUAAGUAUCAGGUGAGUUUUAUAUUAUUCAUGUGCAUUGUUGAUGUGUAUAUUGUGGAUAGCUCAUAACCUGCAAUCAUGGUGUUAGUGCUUAUAUUAUUCACCACACCGCACGCUCGUCUUGGAUCCAAGUAGGUGGAUGUCG
rnacentral:lncRNA from 1 species